UGGUGCUCAUCCCACUGGUGCCAGGGCAGAAGCCUUGGUUCUUCUGCUCUGCAGCUAAGACAUCUCCUGCCCCAAUUUUUCCACUCCUUUUAGGAAAUGGAGAGAGCUCGCCAGCGAGAAGAGGAGAGUAGGAGAGAUUUGGAAAGGUGGAAAGAGGAGGAGAGGACAAAGCUGCAUGAAGAGAUAGAUGGUCUGAGGCAGCUCUUCCUUGCAGCGUUCAAGGAUGUGUCCAGCAGGAGCAUUGCCAUGGAGGGGUUGAAGAAAGACAACAAGACACUCCGUACCACGCCAUCCCAGGACCAGGGGGCAGUUAUGGACCGUGCCCCUCAGCAGAUGGAUGCCCUCAGCACCCAUCUUGGGGAGCAGCCCAAGGUCACAAACUCCCAGGAGAAAGCGGCAAGUGAAAUAAAAAAGAAAAGAGGCCUCGGUUCAUCAAGA
rnacentral:lncRNA from 1 species